AUACGGAGGGUGCAAGCGUUAAUCGGAAUUACGGGGCGUAAAGCGUACGUAGGCGGUUAUUUAAGUCAGAUGUGAAAGCCCCGGGCUUAACUUGGGAACUGCAUUUGAAACUGGGUAACUAGAGUUUAGUAGAGGGGAGUGGAAUUUCAGGUGUAGCGGUGAAAUGCGUAGAGAUCUGAAGGAACACCAGUGGCGAAGGCGCCUCCCUGGACUAAAACUGACGCUGAGGUACGAAAGCGUGGGUAGCAAACAGGAUUAGAAACCCCAGUAGUCC
rnacentral:rRNA from 1 species